rnacentral:lncRNA from 1 species
UUAAACUAGAACUUAAUUUUAUCCAGGUGAUUCUGUUCUGUGUUUCUUCAAGUCAUUAAGUCUUUCUACAUAACCCUGUUCACUCUUGUCUACAGUAACAAGAGCAGCUUGAACACCAUGAAUGUGCAGAAAUAGUGGUUUCCCUAGCAAGUGACUAUGAUGAGCUUGGAACUGUGUGAACAGCAGCGAUAAACAGUUGUUGACUUCUCUGAGGCUUUUUUUUUGUGUCAGAAUUGAGAUGUACCCCACAGUAUAGCUCCAAGGUUUUGUUCCAAAGGAAAAAAAAAGCUGAGACAGUACUGCAUUUUUAAUGGCUGAGUCAUCUGCCUCUGUCCCAACAGCAGAAUCUCAUUUUAGGACUCCUCUGAAAUUCAAGUUUGUUUCCACUGCUGCUGAUAAAGAAGGGGAGAUGGGGCAGACAUGGGAAAAUUUCAACCAGAUGAUGGAGAAAAAUGAUAGUGCUCCAAUGCUGUAAAGGAGACAUACCUGCUAAAGAAAAGGAGGUAAGUCCAACAUCCUUCUGCAAAGGAAGGGAUCAGUGCUCCAAAGAAGACGUUUUUCAAAUAUUUGUGUUUUUUUUUUUUUUUA